rnacentral:rRNA from 1 species
UAACAGGUUUGAACUGAAGAGUUUGAUCCUGGCUCAGAUUGAACGCUGGCGGCAUGCCUUACACAUGCAAG